GAUGAACGCUGGCGGCGUGCCUAAUACAUGCAAGUCGAGCGAACAGACGAGGAGCUUGCUCCUCUGACGUUAGCGGCGGACGGGUGAGUAACACGUGGAUAACCUACCUAUAAGACUGGGAUAACUUCGGGAAACCGGAGCUAAUACCGGAUAAUAUAUUGAACCGCAUGGUUCAAUAGUGAAAGACGGUUUUGCUGUCACUUAUAGAUGGAUCCGCGCCGCAUUAGCUAGUUGGUAAGGUAACGGCUUACCAAGGCAACGAUGCGUAGCCGACCUGAGAGGGUGAUCGGCCACACUGGAACUGAGACACGGUCCAGACUCCUACGGGAGGCAGCAGUAGGGAAUCUUCCGCAAUGGGCGAAAGCCUGACGGAGCCACGCCGCGUGAGUGAUGAAGGUCUUCGGAUCGUAAAACUCUGUUAUUAGGGAAGAACAAAUGUGUAUGUAACUAUGCACGUCUUGACGGUACCUAAUCAGAAAGCCCCGGCUAACUACGUG
rnacentral:rRNA from 1 species